rnacentral:rRNA from 1 species
GACGAACGCUGGCGGCGUGCCUAAUACAUGCAAGCCGAGCGGACCACUUCGGUGGUCAGCGGCGGACGGGUGAGUAACACGUGGGCAACCUGCCUGUAAGACGGGGAUAACACCGGGAAACCGGUGCUAAUACCGGAUAAUCCUUUUCUUCACAUGAAGGAAAGCUGAAAGACGGUUUCGGCUGUCACUUACGGAUGGGCCCGCGGCGCAUUAGCUAGUUGGUGAGGUAACGGCUCACCAAGGCCACGAUGCGUAGCCGACCUGAGAGGGUGAUCGGCCACACUGGGACUGAGACACGGCCCAGACUCCUACGGGAGGCAGCAGUAGGGAAUCUUCCGCAAUGGACGAAAGUCUGACGGAGCAACGCCGCGUGAGCGAUGAAGGCCUUCGGGUCGUAAAGCUCUGUUGUCAGGGAAGAACAAGUACCGGAGUAACUGCCGGUACCUUGACGGUACCUGACCAGAAAGCCACGGCUAACUACGUGCCAGCCGCCGCGGUAAAAC